ACGGAGGGUGCGAGUGUUAUUCGGAAUCACUGGGCGUAAAGAGCACGUAGGCGGAUCGGUAAGUCAGAUGUGAAAUCCCGGAGCUCAACUCCGGAACUGCAUUUGAUACUGCCAGUCUUGAGUGAGGUAGAGGGGGGUGGAAUUCCCGGUGGAUGAGUGAAAUUCGUAGAUCUCGGGAGGAACACCGGAGGCGAAGGCGUCCCACCGGGACUGUACCGACGGUGAUGAGCGAAAGUGUGUAGAGCAAACAG
rnacentral:rRNA from 1 species